rnacentral:rRNA from 1 species
UACAGAGGUGGCAAGCGUUGUUCGGAAUUACUGGGCGUAAAGGGCGCGUAGGCGGCCUUCUAAGUCAGACGUGAAAUCCCCCGGCUUAACCUGGGAACUGCGUCUGAUACUGGAGGGCUUGAGUGCGGGAGAGGGAUGUGGAAUUCCAGGUGUAGCGGUGAAAUGCGUAGAUAUGCGGAGGAACACCGAUGGCGAAGGCAAUCCCCUGGGCCUGCACUGACGCUCAUGCACGAAAGCGUGGGGAGCAAACAGG